CUCGUCUAUGUGGUGCCUGUAAG
rnacentral:miRNA from 15 species